rnacentral:lncRNA from 1 species
GAUAAUUUAUGUUCUUUUUCUUUUGCUUUUUAACAUAUCUUAAGAGGAUAAGACAAACAACCAAAGCAUUAAGUUCUGAACUGCACCAGAGGUUCAGGAGCAGUAUCCCAAGCUCUAAAGAUGUGUAGUUCCUUGAGACUGUUCCUCUUUCUUUCUUGCUUCCUGUUUGUUGGAAUCUUUGCAGAGGUCGAUGAGUGCAAGGUAUCAAGGUGCAGCCCCAGUGGUCCAGCCAUCCGUUUCCCGUUCUGGCUAACAGACCACCAGCCAGCCCACUGUGGAUUCCCCGGGUUUGAGCUAUCGUGCACGGAGAAGCAUCAGACCAUGCUAAACCUCUCAUACUCAGUGAAGCUAUUGGUGAAGAAAAUAAAUUACAAAUCUCAAGAAAUUCAAGUUCAUGACACGGAUGAUUGCCGUCUAACACAGAUUUCAAACCUCAGUUUACACGUCUCUCCUUUCCAAUUGCAAGAAGAAAGUCAAGGACACUUCAGCCUACUCAAUUGUACUUCAACUAAAACAGCUUAUUCAGAUUACUUUUACCCAGUCCCUUGCCUCAGUGCCCCUGCCUACCAGGUUUAUGCUGUUUAUUCGUCAUAUUCCAUCGACUUCGAACUAUCCUCUUGCCGCAAGAUUCACAAUGUUUCACUUCCAUAUCAUAUACUUAUGCAAGACAAUAUUUUUCCUUGUUGAAAAGUCUCAAGUCAAUCCAACAAUAAUGUAAUCAAAGAAUGAAAUACCGUGGAAAAUUUUGAUAAAAUUAUAUUCCUCAAUAAAUCUCAUCACCCACAUGAUUAGUUAACUCUUAAUACCCCGCUGUCUUCACCUGCUGGUGGUUUCAAAGAAAAAGACUUCCACUGAGAAUACCGGCAGAUUCAUGACAUAAUUUGUUUUACCAAAAAUUAUUGUCAAUAAUCCCUUGUACUUAGCCUAUUUAAUGGGUAGCAACUUGCAAGGACCUCUUGCUUUCACAACUAUGUGGCCAUGCAUGUCUUGUGAAAGUGGAGUGGCUCAGUUUGUAAUUAAAUAGCUCACCAUGCUUGACUAACUACAAAACAUUAUACAUAGAAAAUCAAACACUGUGGGCAAGUUGGUGUACCCAAUCAUCCUCAUAUUUCAUAUUGACAAUGACAGUCAAUGCUAUAGAAAAAUAAACUAAUAUUUACUCCUUCAAUAAAUCAAAUAUUAAUAUAAUAUAAUAUGUUAAUAUUAAUAUAUUAAUUAGGUACAACAGGAUGAGAAGACAUGCAGCCGCUUCACUGCCUCGUAUACAUUAUCUAGUUCUUCCACAAGAAUCCAAAGUGAAAUCAGUAAAAGCACGCAAUUAAACAAGUAUCUGUUCUUCCUUGAAAAAAGCAGUGAAUAUAACGCGAAUUAAUAGGUCGUCCAAGAUGUUCGUGAAGGAUCUCUUCCCAACGGUGGAAUUGUUUUCUUAAAAGAGUGAAGAAAUUUUCCAGGAUGAUUAAAGACAGCCUAAAUUUUCUGAUUGUGGGAGGCAGAGCUCAUACUUUAAUAUAAUAAAAUGCUACGAGAUUCAUGAAAUCAAAAUGAGCGGAAAUUCAUGGUUUCCUUCCUCAGCUUAGUUCCAUGGAAAUUUAACUUAAUGAAUCCUUGUUGAAAAGUCUCAAGUCAAUCCAACAAUAAUAAGAAUGAAAUACCGUGGAAAACGAUCCCAUUUAAUCUGAUGGAUCCUUGGGAAAUUCAUGGGUUUUUUCCUCAGCUUAGUGCCACAUGGAAAUUUUUGGCCUCCUUGUUGAAAAGUCGAAGUCAAUGAUAGCAAUGUACAAGAGGAAAGAACAUUGAAUUUUGAAGUAAUAGGAUAACACAAGCAACGAAAGCCUUAAGUUCUAAACUGCACAGGAGGUUCAGGAGCAGUAUCCGAAACUCUAAAGAUGUGUACUUCCUUGAAACUGGUCCUCUCUCUUUCUUGCUUCCUGUUUGUUGGAAUCUUUGCAGAGGUCGAUGAGUGCAAGGUAUCAAGGUGCAGCCCCAAUGGUCCAGCCAUCCGUUUCCCGUUCUGGCUUAGAGACCACCAGCCAGCCCACUGUGGAUUCCCUGGGUUUGAGCUAUCGUGCACGGAGAAGCAUCAGACCAUGCUAAAUCUCUCACACUCAGUGAAACUAUUGGUGAAGAAAAUAAAUUACAAAUCUCAAGAAAUUCAAGUUCAUGACACAGAUGAUUGCCGUCUAACACAGUUUUCAAACCUCAGUUUACACGUCUCUCCUUUCCAAUUGCAAGAAGAAAGUCAAGGACACUUCAGCCUACUCAAUUGUACUUCAACUAAAACAGCUUAUUCAGAUUACUUUUACCCAGUCCCUUGCCUCAGUGCCCCUGCCUACCAGGUUUAUGCUGU